rnacentral:tRNA from 1 species
UGGUCGGGAUAGCUCAGCAAGUAGAGGGA